rnacentral:misc_RNA from 1 species
GAUGAAGAACGUAGCGAAAUGCGAUAAGUAAUGUGAAUUGCAGAAUUCAGUGAAUCAUCGAAUCUUUGAACGCACAUUGCGCCCCUCGGUAUUCCGAGGGGCAUGCCUGUUCGAGCGUCAUUAUAACCCUUCAAGCUCAGCUUGGUGUUGGGGCCUGCUGUAACUGGUAGCCCUUAAAAUCAGAGGCAGUGCUAUUAGGCUCUAAGCGUAGUAAUUCUUCUCGCUAUAGUGUGUAGUGAGCGCUUGCCAGAACCCCAAACUUUUAUAUGAUUGACCUCGGAUCAGGUAGGGAUACCCGCUGAACUUAAGCAUAUCAAUAAGCGGAGGA